AUCCACCCCAGGCUACAGCUCAGACUUCAUUAGAGGCCCAGAUGAAGAACACUGAAAGAAUUCUCGGGCAAUUCCGAAAACCGCGGGGCGACUUUCCAUCCACACACCUGAAAGGCAGAGCUGAGGAAGAACCCAAACGGAAGGAGCGCGCUAAGCAAGGUCUCUCUGGUCUGUUCCUUAGAGAACCCCCGAUAGACCCAGUGGCCUUUCCCUGGCUAAUUUUAGGCACAUCCAUUGUCUGAUCUGGAAGAGACAACAUCUCAGCUGCUACCUGGAAGAGUACUGCAAGUAUCAUAUCACAUGAUCUGUCCUUGGUCCAGGUGCGAGGCCACCUCUUGGGGGCAGCUUAAAAGCUUACAAAAAUGUUAAGGAUCCUCAAGGAAAACAAAGUAAUAGGUUGGCUGAAUCCUGCUGCCUGAACAUCUUUGAAGUUUCAGUAUUAGCCCAGUUCCAGCUCUUUCAGAGAUACAAUCUUUUAAGUUGAUGGGAAGGUGGUAACGAGACAUCUGUGCACACACAGACACGUGCAGUUCUGCGACAUCCCUCAGGUGUUGACCAACAAGACUAUGGAGAUUCCUUACCUGAAUGUUGGAGUUUUCCCAUCUGUGACCUGAGCAUAGAAAAGAGUCUGUAGUGUGUUCCACUCAGCAAUACCGUAAUGAGACACAGAUUUGGACAUCCCAAGUCCAGACGAAAUCUCACACUCACUUCAGCCCCCCCCCCCUUCCGGGAACCUGCAGCAGGCCUACACAGACCAAGAGUAUGCUCUGAUCAUGUGACAAGGAGUUUGUGGACACACAGCAGCCAACCUCCAGUGAUGCGGGAUUAAAUGAAACAGAUGGGCAACUCUGAGCAAUUAUCUCUGCAGAGUGUGGCAAGGCUGACUCCCAGCAGCCCUCAGUAGCGGAAAACUUAGCACAGAGCCAAUGGAGGAUAGAACGGUGUUUCACUUGCACUUUAAUAAAUAAAAUUUGUUUGAGGAUCAGAAAAGUAAAACAGCCACACUGGCCAGCCUUAUAGACCAGGCAGGAGUAACACACACCUUUAAUCCCAGUAGCCACACUAGCUUGCCAUAGAAACCAGGCGGUAGUGGUGCACGCCUUUAAUUGCAGAAUUAGAGAGGACGAUAAGAUGGGGGGAGACAGCUCUCACACACAGUCUCCUUCUGAAAUCUUAGAAGCAAGAUCGUCAUUUCGGACUGAGGUAGC